rnacentral:rRNA from 1 species
UACGUAGGGCGCAAGCGUUUGUCCGGAAUUAUUGGGCGUAAAGAGCUCGUAGGCGGUUUGUCGCGUCUGCUGUGAAAACCUAAGGCUCAACCUUGGGCUUGCAGUGGGUACGGGCAGACUAGAGUGCGGUAGGGGUGACUGGAAUUCCUGGUGUAGCGGUGGAAUGCGCAGAUAUCAGGAGGAACACCGAUGGCGAAAGGCAGGUCACUGGG